rnacentral:misc_RNA from 1 species
GAGGAAGGAGAAGUCGUAACAAGGUUUCCGUAGGUGAACCUGCGGAAGGAUCAUUGUCGAAACCUGCUUUUAGCAGAACGACCCGUGAACUCGUUAAACAAACACAUCGAGGGGGAGGCGAGGAUGCCUACGCAUGUCGAGCCCUCUCCUCUGAGCCCGGGUGUGCGGUGCCGUCAAUUCUAACCCCCGCCCUUUUCGGUGGACGUGAUUGAUGGCCUCGUCUCUUGUGGCUUUACAACCAACCCACGGCGUGAGUCACGCCAAGGAAAGGAAAUGAAAAAAAAGGGCAUUGGGCCUUUGUACAGCCCUAUUUGUGGUGUGUUGCAGAGCGCCUCAUGUCUCUUUUUUGUGAAUUAUAUGAAACGACUCUCGGCAACGGAUAUCUCGGCUCUCGCAUCGAUGAAGAACGUAGCGAAAUGCGAUACUUGGUGUGAAUUGCAGAAUCCCGUGAACCAUCGAGUCUUUGAACGCAAGUUGCGCCCCAAGCCAUUAGGCUGAGGGCACGCCUGCCUGGGUGUCACGCAUCGUCGCCCCCAGCAACCCUUUGGUUGUCUUGGAGGUGAAAAAUGGCCUCCCGUGAGCUCUCUUGCGGUUGGCCCAAAAACGAUUCCUCGGCAACGAUUAUUGUGCCGCGAACGAUCGGUGGUAAUACCUCGAGUGUUCCUUGUCCAUGUUCGUGCUUGCUAGUUGACCGGUUGGAAUCCUCAUUAACCCUGCUUUGCAUCGCUCGAAUGAUGCUCGUUUCGCGACCCCAGGUCAGACGGGACUACCCGCUGAGUUU